rnacentral:lncRNA from 1 species
AUUGUAUCUCUACCUCAAUCUUCCUCUUAUCCUCCUCCAAAGUAUCCUCCUAUAAUGACAACUACACCGAGUUUGGUCUUUCCUCCUAUGACCGACAUAAAUACUCCAUUUCAAAUUACUCCAUGUCAAAACCCACUAAUCCCAGUAGUCCAUCCCUCUAUCUCAGUAAAACCUUUUUUAUCCUCAGCACCACAAAAACCUACCCUCAAAAGAUAUCCACAGCCAAUUGCCAAACCUUUUAGGCAAAUUGAACCCUCUUCAGAACCAUUACCACACCCUAGUAUAGGAAACACUGAACAAAAACAAGGCGAUCCCAUGAUACUAGAAACAUCUUCUCCCAAAUGUGACAAUUUAGGCGAAAAUGCUUAGCCGCCUGAUUCUGACAUUUUGUACAUUUUUGUAAAUAUUUCUUUCAGUUCUGCAGUUUUAAUUGCGCCUUUUCAUUUCGACCUUGUAUUGGACACUGCUAAAAAAAAAAAAAAUUCAGAAAAAAGCAAAAGAGAAAAAUGAAAAAAAAAAAGAUUUUCCAGAGAAAAGUGGAAAUAUGAAGAAGAAGAAAGAAUCUGGAAAUUGAAAAAAUCAAAAGAAAAAAUUGAAAAAAUGGAAAAACAGAAAAAACAAGAGAAAAUUCAAGAAAAGAAAGAAAAAAUCAGAAAAAGAAAAAAGAAAAAAGAAUUAACCCGCUGUGAUCCUUUCACAGGCAAAAAUAAGGGUUUUUUAGUUUAGGGCUUUAAUUUCUGUUCUUUAACCACCUUGUGAUCCAACUCCAUCAUCAAAAGCAAGGUUCCAAAGUCUGUUCCCAAACAGACACCACCAAGUCNUAACGACCAACAUCGUUUCCGGUAGCAAACACACUUUAAUUUAAGUCUUUAAAAAGCUUUCAUUUAAAGAAAAAUUUAAAAAAGAUAAAAAUAAAAAAAAUAAAAAAAAAAGAGAAAAAUCACCGUGCAUACCACUUUGCGUAAUUAGCACUAAUUACGCCACUUAAAUUUUAGACCGAAAAAAUUUAUAAAAAAUCUUAAAAAAUCAGAAAUAUUCCCACGAGUCUUUUGCUACCCUUGUCCAGAGUAGCCGACAUAUAGUUUCCCCUCUGUGCAUUUUUCUGUUAGACUUUUACUAUUUGCAAAUAGUAAAUAGUUAAAAAAAAUAAAAUAAAAUAAAAAAAUAAAAAAAAAAAUCCCACGUGAAGCCACUGAAUGCAUAGUUAUCGUGCAUAGUAACUUCGCUAAUUUUCGACAGCAACAUUUCCAGACAAAAAAUACUAGAAAAUCCAGAAAAAUCUUACGAGUAUUUUGCCACCCUUCUUCAGAGUAGGCGAUAUACGGUCUCUCCUGUAAAAAUCUUUCUUUCCUACAAAUCACUAUUUGCAUAGUAACUGUUUGAUAAUUUAUUUGCGUACGCACCAUUUCUACUUAGUAUCCUACGCUAAUUAAGCUUUUUCUAGCUAUAUCAGAAAAAUUCUCAAAAAAUACCCAAAAAAUUGUUAAAAUUUCAACUUUCUCUUUCUUGCACUUAUCCUUUUUAACCGGUAUUUUCACAUACCUAAUUUCCAGUAUAUUACAUAAUCUGACCCAACUCUACUAUUUCCGCAUUUCCCUAAAAAUCCUAAAAAAUCCCAAAAAAUAUUUUAAAAAUCUCUUUUAGGUUUUUGCUUCUUUCAAAGGUUUGUUUUUCCUCAUACCUUAGGGUUUUCAUAAAUAGACUAGGGUUUUUAUAACAACAGACUUGUAGUUUGUGUUUAAGAAUCAUUUCCGCACCUUCUUCUAAACACCUUCUUCUAAACCCUAAACCCUAAACCCUAAACCUUAAACUUGGAACUAGCCAAGCCUAAACUCUCUAGCCCCCUCCCCCCUGUUUGGUAUCAGAGCCAAGACUUUCUUGGUCAAACUUACCGAGACUUUCUUGGUUUCAACUUACUAAACUUACAAAGCCUUUAUUGGUUAAACUAGUUAAGACUUUAGCUUUAUCACUUAGCUAUUUUAAUACAAUCAAUUCAACAGCCUCGUUUUCUUUUAAACAAGACAGAGAAAAGAAACGAAGACAAGUUUUCCUUAAAUACAACCACAUUAUUGAUAAUAGUGAAUGCAACCACAUUAUUGAUAAUAGUAAAUCUCCUUAAGAUUCAUCCUCAAUACCACCAUAUUAUUGAUAAAUAUGGACUUUUCUACAUCAUCUUCCCAAUCUCACAGAUUUUCUAGAUCUAAUUCCUAUAGAUCUGAAGAUAGUGAAUCUACAAUAUCUUUAAGAGCUCCUAAAUCUAGAGCAAGGAACAUAGUUGAAAAAAUAUUUUGUAGACCAAAACCUCUUCCAUUAGUUCCCAGAUCACAGCCCCCUCAACUAGACACAGUUGUAGAUGUUGAUGAUGACAUCGCAAUUUUCCGUACCCACGGGUUACGUCUUAUAAAUCCAGACAUUUUAUAUGAUGACCGACAACGGUAUGUUGAUAAGACUAAAUUUAUAUCUUUUAAGAGUGAAGUAUCAGUUGAAUGUUAUGACGGUCAACACAUUUCUAUACCUCUUGCUGAUGACGAAGUACAAAAAAGUAUUAGAAAGGCAAAUAUAGCACUUAUGCAUAUUGGAUUAAUUGUAAUAGGCAUAAAAGGGCUAGUACGUAAAAAACUAGGAUCUAAAGUACUCUUAAUGCCUUAUGACAAUAGACACAAAAAUAUAAUUGACGCAUCCUUAGGAUGUACUGAAAUAGAUAUGAAUUUUAAUGGUGGAAUAUUUUAUGUCGUUCCGGACUUUCUAAUGCCUUCAAUAGACUUUGCUAAUCAAAUUAAGAUUGGUAUACAAGUUAGAGGAAUAGAUUUAUAUGAAGGACAAAACUUUAGAAACUUACAAGUUUGCAUCGGAUUUACAGGUCUGUUAACACCUACUGCCGAAUCACAUUUUUUAAUGAACCCUUUAGGUGUAGUAGACUUAAUGGGAACACAAGGCAUGAAAUUAAUAGCACCAAUGGAAAUAGAUGCUAAAAAAUAUGCCGGCCUAGAAUGGAAUUUGGAUAAAUUUACACAAAUUAGACAAACAACAAUAGCUCCUGCUGACACUAUUUACUACCAAAAUGAACAAGGAAGGAACUCACUCAGAUUCACAGACUUUGAGACAAUUGAAGAAACAGAAAAUGACAAAGAUAGGACGACACCACUAAUACGAAAAAGAAAUAGUACACCAACCCAACCCGGUGAAUCAAGUACUCAAAGAAGAGAUUUUACUCUAUUACCCCAAGACCAACCACCAAACUUGAAUGUACCUUAUAAUCUAGAAAAACAACCCAAUAUCGAAUAUAAUUUUAUGGAAGAUAAUUAUAUUGACUAUUCUUCUGAAUCUGAACCUGAAGAUGAAGAAGAUGAAGAAUUUAGUGAUGAAGAAGAAAACCGUCUGAUAGAACAAAUCAGGCUAAAAAGACAAUUAAGAUCUGAAAGAGAUAAAAAAUUAGGAUAUACUAAACAAGAUGACAAGUUUAUCUAUAACCUAAGAGACGAAAUAAGAGAAAUAAACUUAGCAGAAGAAGGAGAAGGAUCUAAUCCUCCUGAAACACAGACUCCUCCACCAUAUCAUGUUGAACAUCCAUUAUCCACUCCUCCAACUCCACAAAGACCUCCUAGACCUCAAACAACAAAUCCUGGUUAUUCUCAUAUACCAUACUAUGAUACAGUUAGGAUGCCAGCAGAAACCUACAACACUGGUAAUUUUCCUAGACAUAGCAUCUCCUCAGCCCCAGAAGAACAAAUCUAUCCUUAUGGUCGCAAUGUUAGAUCUUAUGGCAAAAAAUAUCCUUUUGAAAAUCCUGUUAAUUUACAAGAAGCAGGAUCUGGAAAAAUAUUAAACAUUGCUGCUCAUGACCCCCAAACUUGGGAUUCUAUAAUAGACAUUUGGAAAGGUUUAGUUGUAGCGGAUUAUAUUCGUAAUCAACACUACAUGAAUACUGAUAAUGCCGAGGAAAUGUAUAAAUAUUUAGAGACUUUUCUAGGCGAAUCCACUAAAGGAAUGUGGGAACAAUAUAAAAUUCAAUAUGAAGAUGAAUUCAGACAUCUAUUAACACUAGGAUGUAAUCCUUGUAAUUUCACAAACAAAGUUCAUUCUCUCAUUACAGGCCAAGACCCUAAUUCUGGCCAAUUACUCCUACAAAAUCAAGCUCUUAUAAGCCUAGAACAACUUAGUAUUUCAACCUGGUUCCCUAUAAAAGACUUUCUACAAGCAUACUUAUAUUAUGCAAGUAUAAGUGGGAAUGCUUUUAGCCAAGACAUAGGACGAAAAUUAUUCUUAAAACUUCCAGGAGCCCUAGGCAGAGAAAUCCAAGACAGAUGGGAUACAAUGGAAAAAAAAACUAUAAGGCAAAACCCAGAUACUAAAUGGUCCAUAGGACAGAGUAAAAUUCAUAAUGAAUAUACUACAAGAGAAAUGUGCCAACAUACAAAUCACAAAACAACUAAAAAACAAUGAAUACUCUUUCUGUAAAAGUGUUGUGUAUACUCCCCAACAGUAUAGAAACCCAUUUUAUGAAACUCCAAAGAAAAAAUAUAAACAUUACAUCCCUCAAUACAAAGGAUAUAAGACAAGAAUGAAGUAUUCCUUAAGACGAUCAAAAGCCAAAAAGCCCUAUUUAAAUAAAGACAACCAUGUGAGAAAAUAUAAAUCAGACAGAACUUAUAAAAGCAAACUUCUUUGUUAUACAUGUAAUAGUCCAGGGCAUUUUGCAAAUGCAUGUCCAAGAAGACAACAUAAAAAACCGAAAUGCUUUACUUAUAGAAGAUACUGGCGAAACCCUGUUAGCAGUAGAUGAAUUUGUAUCAGACACCGAAACUAUUUACUCCAUUGAAAAUAAUAUAGUCUACGAAAAAGAAAGUGAAAAAGAAUCCUCCUCUGAUGAAGACAAUAAUAACUAUAAUACUUUUAUCUCAAAUAUGGUUGAAGGUACUAAGACAAAGCAAAAAGAACAUACAUAUUUUUUUGAAUCUGCAAUGAUUUUUGAAGACCCUGACGAAAACACAUCCAUAACCUCCCCACUAGAGGAAAAAACAUGGACUUCGUUUUCUGACAGUACCACUAUUCUUUUUGAAGGAGUCCAAACUCUAGAAGAACAAAACCCUAAUUGGGAAUUAGCCGCCCGAGACUAUAAAAUUCAAUUAUUAAGACAACGAGCACAAGAAAGAAUAGACAAACGAAUUUGGAAAAUAGCUAUGGAAAUACAAGACCAGAGUGGAUCAAGAAUACGGGAAAUAAUUGAAUAUGAACGCAAGCAAAGAUUGUUAGAUACCAAGGACCAAAAUAAAAUUAUUCAAGAUAUUAGAAUCCUUUUCAACGAUCUUUCAGAACAAGAAGAUAUUAUAAAAGACAUCAGACAUCUCUUUGACAUAUCCCAACCCUCAUUUCAUGACUCUACUAUUUAUGUUAUGACCCUUAUGAAUUUAAAUGAAGAAUGCAGCCAUGAUUGGCAAGAAAGACAAGGAUAUGACCAUAGACCUUGCACAUACUGUAAUUUCUUUCCCGAACGAAAAUUUAGAUGUAAAUGUCGCUUAUGUAAAAUUGAAGCAUGUUCAAUUUGCUUAAACAAAAAGUUUAAUAGACAGAUUACAAAUAUAGAACCUAAAAAGACUUUUGAAAUCGAACAUUUAAAUGCCCAUGAAAAACGAAUUAUAGCUUUAGAAGCCAGAGUCAGCCUUCUGGAAAAACAAGACAAUCCAAGAAAAAACAUUACAAAUAAAGGAAAAGGAAUUGAACUCCGUGAAAAUAUGACAGAACUAUCCGAAUAUUUUGAAGAAGAAAAUUUACGGGUAUAUGAAGAUAGUUACAUUUGUAACGAAGGAUUAAAACUACGAAGUCUUAUUGUUCCGUGUAAAAUACAAAUAGGAAACAAAGACUUUGAAACAGAAGCAGUAAUAGACACUGGCUGUACGACCUGUUUAAUACAUACAGAUUUAGUCCCUUUAAAUUACCGAAAGACAGCAAAAGAACCAACAAGUGGUAUCCAAAUGGACGGUACUGCCCAUAAAUAUACACAAUAUGUUUCUAAUGCAAAAAUUAGCUUCUUAGAUACAUGCAAUACAUUCAAUGAAACCUAUACCAUUCCCAAGGUUUGGUUACGAAAAAUGANCUAAAAAUUUGUGUUUGAUGUUCAGACAACAAUAUUUUUUGGGAAUUCUAUUUUUGGGAUUUCCGCACCUUCUUCUAAACCCUAAACCCUAAACCCUAAAGCUUAAACUUGGAACUAGCCAAGCCUAAACUCUCUAGCCCCUCUUUCCCCCCUUUCCCCUUUCCCCCCUCUUGGUAUCAGAGCAUCGAAAUCACUAUGCUAGAAGGUUAAAUUUAAUUUACUUGUCGUCGAAAUGAUACAAACCUACAGAUAAGUAGGGUUGGCAAAGGCUAGUCUGUACCCAAGGGCUUUUCUUAAGACAUAAACCUUGUUACAUUAAAGCCUAGUUGACCAAUAGUGACCACCCUUCAGGUUUAAUGUACAACAAGAGAUAGCCUUAAGAUAAGUUGAACAACCUUGUGAUUUGGUGCAAGGAAACCAAGAGAUAGCAGGACUAUAAGACGACACCACUAAACUCUCUACCCCCUCUUUUACACAUAAAUGAACUACUUAAAUUAGGAGUUAUAAGAAAAUCAAUAUCCAAACAUAGAUCAACAGCUUUUAUAGUUAUGAAACAUUCUGAAAUAGUACGAGGAAAAAGCAGAAUGGUCAUUAACUACAAAAGACUUAAUGACAAUACAAAAUUCGAUGGCUAUACUAUUCCAGACAAAUCUCAUCUAAUAAAUAGUAUACAAGGUAAAAAGAUUUUCAGUAAAUUUGACUGUAAAUCAGGUUUUUGGCAAGUAAAAAUGGACAAAGAGAGUAUAGAAUGGACAGCUUUUACCUGCCCAGAAGGACAUUUUGAAUGGCUAGUUAUGCCCUUUGGCCUUAAAAAUGCACCUUCUAUUUUCCAAAGAAAAAUGGAUACAAUUUUUAAUGAACACAGAGAUUUUGUUUUAGUUUAUGUCGAUGACAUUUUAGUUUUUAGUAAAAACAUGCAAGAACAUCUAGGACAUCUACAGAUAGUCUUUCAUGAAUUUAUUAAACAUGGGAUUAUUAUAAGUAAAAAUAAAGUUGAACUCUGUAAAAAAUACAUCAAUUUCUUAGGAGUAACUAUUGGUGAAGGAAAAAUAAAAUUACAACCCCAUAUAGCCAAGAAAAUCCUAGACAUGCCAGAUAAACUUGAAACUCUUAAAGAAUUACAAUCCUUCUUAGGAUUAGUAAAUUAUGCAAGAACAUUUAUCAAGGACCUGGGAAAAAUCGCAGGGCCUUUAUAUGCUAAGACUGGAAAAUCAGGACAAAGACAUUUUAAUGCUGAAGACAUAAAAUUGGUCAAACAAAUAAAAGCCCUUGUAUCUGAAUUACCAGACCUAGAUCUUCCGUUAGAUUCUAAUUAUAUUAUCAUAGAAACAGACGGUUGUGAUUUAGGAUGGGGCGCAGUCUUAAAAGCAAGAUCUAAUAAAUAUAGUGACACAAAAGAAGAAAAAUUAUGCGGAUACGCAAGUGGGAAAUAUAGAGAAAGAGGAAAAAUAAGCAGCAUAGAUGCGGAAUUAUUAGCAGUAAUAUAUGCUCUUGAUGCUUUCAAACUAAAUGUUAUUAAUAAACAGGAAAUAACAAUCCGGACAGAUUGUGAAGCUAUUACUAAAUUCUCUCAUAAAAAAGACGAAAAAGCUAGUUCUAGACGCCGAUGGAUUAAUUUUCAAGACAGAAUAUCUAUAAGUCACAUUAAAUUUGAACAUAUUAGAGGAAAAGAUAAUUUUUUCCCUGAUCAAUUAAGUAGAGGAUUUUUUGAAAAUACCACUUUUGAAAUUAACAUGGUACAUAUUGACAUUUCAGAUUCAGACAUUUCAGAUUCAGACAUUUCAGACACAAACAUGGAUCCAAUCAGACAACCUCGGAUAGCCUAUGGCAACGAAAAUCUCAUUUAUUUUUCCCAAAUUAUUUUCCGUUCUCGCAAUCCAAAUAUUUUAUUACCAGACGAACAAAAAUGUUUGAUUGACAAUCUAUGGCUAUGUUACCAUAGGACAUCAAAUCAUCAAGAACCAGACAAAAAAUAUUUUGUUGCCUGCAUAAAUUCCUUAAUAGAAUAUUUUCAGACAGUCAAACCCAAAGACUCUUUCCCUUUCUAUGUGGUACUUCAAGGUUUUAAAACCGGAAUUUUUGAUUCCUGGAUUGAUGUUAUUACCCAGCUUAAAAAUUUUCCUCACCCUCUCUACAAAGGUUUUCAUUCUAUCUCCGAAGCCUUAGACACUGCUCGUACCUACUUUGGUCCAAAUUUUUUUAUCUCCCCCAAUAUUCGCUCUUCUCCACAUAUUCAUGCCUCUACAUCCACCCACAAUCCUGAGAAAAUUAGUUUCUGUGAAAACUGCUCAACAACGGCAACACAGCUCCAAAAACUGAAUACUAUUUGUGAUGACUUGAGAACAAAGGAUCAGAAAAAUAUUCAAAGAAUUGCUGUUCUGGAACAACAGAUCAAAGACCUCAAGAACCCCUCACAACAAGGUAUUGUAUCUCUACCUCAAUCUUCCUCUUAUCCUCCUUCAAAGUAUCCUCCUAUAAUGACAACUACACCGAGUUUGGUCUUUCCUCCUAUGACCGACAUAAAUACUCCAUUUCAAAUUACUCCAUUUCAAAACCCACUAAUCCCAGUAGUCCAUCCCUCUAUCUCAGUAAAACCUUUUUUAUCUUCAGCACCACAAAAACCUACCCUCAAAAGAUAUCCACAGCCAAUUGCCAAACCUUUUAGGCAAAUUGAACCCUCUUCAGAACCAUUACCACACCCUAGUAUAGGAAACACUGAACAAAAACAAGGCGAUCCCAUGAUACUAGAAACAUCUUCUCCCAAAUGUGACAAUUUAGGCGAAAAUGCUUAGCCGCCUGAUUCUGACAUUUUGUACAUUUUUGUAAAUAUUUCUUUCAGUUCUGCAGUUUUAAUUGCGCCUUUUCAUUUCGACCUUGUAUUGGACACUGCUAAAAAAAAAAAAAAUUCAGAAAAAAGCAAAAGAGAAAAAUGAAAAAAAAAAAGAUUUUCCAGAGAAAAGUGGAAAUAUGAAGAAGAAGAAAGAAUCUGGAAAUUGAAAAAAUCAAAAGAAAAAAUUGAAAAAAUGGAAAAACAGAAAAAACAAGAGAAAAUUCAAGAAAAGAAAGAAAAAAUCAGAAAAAGAAAAAAGAAAAAAGAAUUAACCCGCUGUGAUCCUUUCACAGGCAAAAAUAAGGGUUUUUUAGUUUAGGGCUUUAAUUUCUGUUCUUUAACCACCUUGUGAUCCAACUCCAUCAUCAAAAGCAAGGUUCCAAAGUCUGUUCCCAAACAGACACCACCAAGUCCAACUUUCCACCUCCAGAGCAAUUUUUUGGCUUCCUCCAAGCAAGUCCCAAAGCGACACGUGGCCUCCAUUUGGACAAAUAAUAAUCCGACACGUGGACACCACUCAUGCACCAGUUCCAUGCACCAGGUCCACCAAGAAUCCCGGCAAGAAUGACAUUCAAAACCACUACGCCUCAAACCCCCUACGCCUCAGGUUUUUUAAAACCGUGGGCCCACGUCAUCAUUCCACCCAAUACCUCAUCCUGCGAAGCCAUGGUUUUUUUGAAAACCAGGUGCCGCCGCAGUAUUCUCCUCCCAAACCACCUCUUCCUUCGGCUAUAAAGGAAGAAAACCUCCUCCUCCUCUCAGAGCAUCGAAACCUCAGAGCAUCGAAUGCAUAGAGAAAGAAGCAGAGCAAGAAAAAAUCCUACUUAGCCCCUGCCUUAUGAAAAAUUCCGCUGAAGCUUAAAGGAAGAUCAUUUCGACGACAAGUGAAGAAUGAAGCAAGCCUCUUGUUAGAUAUACCAUCCUAGCUCCACAAAUAAUUCCCUAAUGGCCUUUAUUUUCCUAUCCUUCCUGUAAAAAUUAUCUUUUUUCUUAACCGCAUUCUGGCGUGAAGAGUCUGUACAAACAAGUCCUUCUUUCCCCCCGGGAAGUCCCGGAAGGGAAACCUUCUAGCAUUGUGAUGUAAGUUUUAUCUCUUGUUAAUAUUAUAUUUCUCGAACUCUUCUAUCCAUGGCAUUUUCUUUGCCCCAUGAUUCCCUUUCCUUGGACUCUUAAUGAAAAUUUAAGAGGUUCUCUCUGGAUAAUUAUUUCAGCUUAAGCAAGUGUAAAGCAUAUAUGCUUGGCAGAUUUGAUAAGAGAAAAAAUGCUCUGUAAUUUUCGCCAUUGAUAGCCAGAGGUGCUUUGCGGCGUUAGAGCGAGGUUCUCUGAAAACUGUACGCCAAGAGGGUCUUGUGCACCAACACUGUGUCUUAAGUGGUGUUAUCCACAUUAGAAAAUUAAAUUUCAUCAUAAGUCCGAGUUUUAGGAAAAUUGCAUCAUCGAAAAUUUAAUGAGAUAAAGAGUUUUAGAAAUAUAAAAAACAUCUGAAAAAUUUUUAUCUUGAUUUCUAGAAGGGAGUACCAGACGGGACCUACUUUAAAAAAGAUUUGGAAACUUAGUUUAUUUUCUAAAAACGGAAAUUUUAAAUUUGCACUUCAUCCUAUUUUUAUUCAUCCUACAAAUAUCAUUCAAGACAUAUAUUAUUUUCUUUCCGUUCCUCUUUUACUGUGAACUAUCUAUCAAACAAUUUCAUCUAAACAUCCACCUAUCCAUCCCAAUUAAAUUAAUAUUUAAUAACGACCAACAUCGUUUCCGCCUACAAACACACUUUAAUUUAAGUUUUUAAAAGCUUUCUCUUAAAGAAAAGUUUAAAAAGAUAAAAAAAAAAAGAGAAAAAACAACGUGCAUGUCACUUUGCGUAAUUAGCACUAAUUACGCCACUUAAAUUUUAGACCGGAAAAAUUUAUAAAAAAUCUUAAAAAAUCAGAAAUAUUCCCACGAGUCUUUUGCUACCCUUGUCCAGAGUAGCCGACAUAUAGUUUCCCCUUUGCAUUUUUCUGUUUGCAUAGUAAACUUAAAAAGUUAAAAAAAAAAAAAAAAAAAUUUCCACGUGAAGCCACUGUAUGCAUAGUUAUCGUGCAUAGUAACUUCACUAGUUUUCGACAGCAACAUUUCCAGACAGAAAAAAUACCAAAAAAUUCAGAAAAAUCUUACGAGUAUUUUGCCACCAUUCUUCAGAAUAGCCGACAUACGGUCUCUCCUGUAAAAAUCUUUCUUUCUUUCAAAUCACUAUUUGCAUAGUAACUUGCAUAGUAAUUUAUUUACGUACGCACUAUUUCUACUUAGUAUCCUACGCUAAUUAAGCUUUUUCUAGCUAUAUCAGAAAAAUUCUCCAAAAAUACCCAAAAAAUUGUUAAAAAUCCAACUUUCUCUUUCUUGCCCUUAUCUUUUUCAACCGGUAUUUUCUAAUACUUACUUUUCAAUAUAUUACAUAAUCUGACCCAACUCUACUAUUUCCGCAUUUCCCUAAAAAUCCUAAAAAAUCCAAAAAAUAUUUUAAAAAUCCUUUUUAGGUUUUUGCUUCUUUCAAAGGUUUGUUUUUCCUACUAUCUUAGGGUUUUUAUAAAUAGACUAGGGUUUUCUCCAUAAAUCCUAGGGUUUUUAUCUUAAGGGUUUUUUAUAACAACAGACUUGUAGUUUGUGUUUAAAGAUCAUUUCCGCACCUUCUUCUAAACCCGAAACCCUAAACCCUAAACCCUAAACCCUAAACCUUAAACUUGGAACUAGCCAAGCCUAAACUCUCUAGCCCCCCCUCUUUCCCCCCUCUUGGUAUCAGAGCUUAGACUUUCUUGGUCAAACUUACCCAGACUUUCUUGGUCAAACUUACCUAGAAUCUCUUGGUUUCAAGUUACUAAACUUAUAAAGACUUUAUUGAUUAAACUAGUAGAGACUUUAGCUUUAUCACUUAGCUAUUUUACUACAAUCAAUUCAACAGCCUCAUUCUCUUUUAAACAAGACAGAGAAAAGAAACGAAUACAAAUCUUCCUUGAAUGCAACCACAUUAUUGAUAAUAGUAAAAUCUUUUUAACAAUCAUCCUCAAUACCACCAUAUUAUGGAAUUUUCUACAUCAUCAUCUUCUCAAUCACACAGAUUUUCUAGGUCUAAUUCCUAUAGAUCUGAAGAUAGUGAAUCUACAAUAUCUUUAAGAGCUCCUAAGUCUAGAGCAAGGAACAUAGUUGAAAAAAUCUUUUGUAGACCAAAACCUCUUCCAUUAGUCCCCAGAUCACAGACACCUCAACUAGACACAGUUGUAGAUGUUGAUGAUGAUAUCGCAAUCUUCCGUACCCACGGAUUACGUCUUAUAAAUCCAGACAUCUUAUAUGAUAACCGUCAACGAUAUGUUGACAAGACUAAAUUUAUUUCCUUCAAGAGUGAAGUAUCAGUUGAAUGUUAUGACGGUCAACACAUUUCUAUACCCCUUGCUGAUGAAGAAGUACAAAAAAGUAUUAGAAAGGCAGAUAUAGCACUUAUGCAUUUAGGAUUAAUUGUAAUAGGCAUAAAAGGCCUGGUACGUAAAAAACUAGGAUCUAAAGUACUCUUAAUGCCUUAUGACAAUAGACAUAAAAAUAUAAUUGACGCAUCCUUAGGAUGUACAGAAAUAGAUAUGAAUUACAACGGUGGAAUAUUUUAUGUAGUUCCAGACUUUCUAAUGCCUUCAUUAGACUUUGCAAAUCAAAUUAAGAUUGGUAUACAAGUCAGAGGAAUAGACUUAUAUGAAGGACAAAACUUUAGAAACUUACAAGUUUGUAUUGGAUUUACAGGUCUGUUAACACCCACUGCCGAGUCACAUUUUUUAAUGAACCCCUUAGGUGUAGUAGAUUUAAUGGGAACACAAGGCAUGAAAUUAAUAGCACCAAUGGAAAUAGAUGCUAAAAAAUAUGCCGGCCUUGAAUGGAACUUGGAUAAAUUUACACAAAUUAGACAAACAACAAUAGCUCCUGCUGAUACUAUUUACUACCAAAAUGAACAAGGAAGGAACUCACUCAGAUUCACAGACUUUGAGACAAUUGAAGAAACAGAAAAUGACAAAGAUAGGACGACACCACUAAUACGAAAAAGAAAUAGUACAUCAACUCAACUCGGUGAAUCAAGUACCCAAAGAAGAGAUUUUACUCUAUUACCUCAAAACCAACCACCAAACUUAAAUGUACCAUAUAAUCUAGAAAAACAGCCCAAUAUCGAAUAUAAUUUUAUGGAAGAUAAUUAUAUUGACUAUUCUUCUGAAUCUGAACCUGAAGAUGAAGAAGAUGAAGAAUUUAGUGAUGAAGAAGAAAACCGUCUGAUAGAACAAAUCAGGCUAAAAAGACAAUUAAGAUCUGAAAAAGAUAAAAAAUUAGGAUAUACUAAGCAAGAUGACAGGUUUAUCUAUAACCUAAGAGACGAAAUAAGAGAAAUAAACUUAGCAGAGGAAGGAGAAGGAUCUAAUCCUCCUGAAACACAGACUCCUCCACCAUAUCAUAUUGAACAUCCAUUAAACACUCCUCCAGCUCCACAGAGACCUCCUCGACCUCAAACAACAAAUCCUGGUUAUUCUCAUAUACCAUACUAUGAUACAGUUAGGAUGCCAGCCGAAACCUACAACACUGGUAAUUUCCCUAGACAUCGCAUCUCCUCAGCCCCAGAAGAGCAAAUCUAUCCUUAUGGUCGCAAUGUUAGAUCUUAUGGCAAAAAAUAUCCUUUUGAAAAUCCUGUUAAUUUACAAGAAGCAGGAUCUGGAAAAAUAUUAAACAUAGCUGCUCAUGACCCCCAAACUUGGGAUUCUAUAAUAGACAUUUGGAAAGGAUUAGUUGUAGCAGAUUAUAUUCGUAACCAACACUACAUGAAUACUGAUAACGCCGAGGAAAUGUAUAAAUAUUUAGAAACCUUUUUAGGAGAAUCUACCAAAGGAAUGUGGGAACAAUAUAAAGUUCAAUAUGAAGAUGAAUUCAGACAUUUAUUAACACUAGGAUGUAAUCCUUGUAAUUUUACAAACAAAGUUCAUUCUCUUAUUACCGGUCAAGACCCUAAUUCUGGCCAAUUGCUACUCCAAAAUCAAGCCCUUAUCAGCCUAGAACAACUUAGUAUUUCUACCUGGUUCCCUAUCAAAGACUUUCUACAAGCAUACUUAUAUUAUGCAAGUAUAAGUGGGAAUGCUUUUAGCCAAGACAUAGGACGAAAAUUAUUCUUAAAACUUCCAGGAGUCCUAGGCAGAGAAAUCCAAGAUAGAUGGGAUACAAUGGAAAAAAAAACUAUAAGGCAAAACCCAGAUACUAAAUGGUCCAUAGGACAAAGAGUAAAAUUCAUAAUGAAUAUACUACAAGAGAAAUGUGCCAACAUACAAAUCACAAAACAACUCAAAGACAAUGAAUACUCUUUCUGUAAAAGUGUUGUGUAUACUCCCCAACAGUAUAGAAACCCAUUUUAUGAAACUCCAAAGAAAAAAUAUAAACAUUAUAUCCCUCAAUACAAAGGAUAUAAGACAAGAAUGAAAUAUUCCUUACGACGAUCAAAAGCCAAAAAACCCUAUUUAAAUAAAGAUAACCAUGUUAGAAAAUAUAAAUCAGACAGAACUUAUAAAAGCAAACUUCUCUGUUAUACAUGUAAUAGUCCAGGGCAUUUUGCAAAUGCAUGUCCAAGAAGACAACAUAAAAAACCGAAAUGCUUUACUUAUAGAAGAUACUGGCGAAACCUUGUUAGCAGUAGAUGAAUUUGUCUCAGACAUUGAAACUAUUUACUCCAUUGAAAAUAAUAUAGUUUACGAGAAAGAGAGUGAAAGAGAAUCCUCCUCUGAUGAAGACAAUAAUAACUGUAAUACUUUUAUCUCAAAUAUGAUUGAAGGUACUAAGACAACAAAGCAAAAAGAACAUACAUAUUUUUUUGAAUCUGCAAUGAUAUUUGAAGACCCUGACGAAAAUACAUCCAUAACCUCCCCGCUAGAGGAUAAAACAUGGAAUUCGUUUUAUGAUAGUACCACAAUUCUUUUUGAGANGAUAAAACUUACAUCACAACGCUAGAAGGUUUCCCUUCCGGGACUUCCCGGGGGGAAAAAAGGACUUGUUUGUACAGACUCUUCACUCCAGAUUGCAGUUGAUAAAAAGAUAAAUUUUUACAGGAGGGGGAGAAAAAUAAAAGCCAUUGGAUUUAUUUGUGGAGCUAGGAUGCUAUAUCUAACAAGAUGAGAGCUUCAUUCUUCACUUGUUGUCGAAAUGAUCUUCCUUUAAGCUUCAGCGCAAUUUUUACAUAAGGCAGGGGCUAAGUGGGAUUUUCUCUUGCUCUGCUUCCUUGCUCACCAUGCUUCAAGAGGAGGAGGAAGGCUUCCUUUUAUAAGAAAAAGGAAGAGUGGUUUUGGAGGAGAAAACUGCGGCGGCACCUGGUUUUCAAAAAAACCGCGGCUACGCAGGUUGAGGUAAUGGAAGGAAUGAUGACGCGACAUGAUGACGUGGGCCCACAGGCUUUUCAAAAAAAACCUCAGGCGUAGUGGUUUUGGAUGGUCAUCAUUGGCAUGACUUUUUGAAAAUUCGGUGGACCUGGUGCAUCAGUGAUGUCCACGUGUUGCUUUAAUAUUUGUCCAGAUGGAGGCCAUUUGUUGAUUCUUCAUUGGCUUGGUGGGGGCCAAAUAUUGCUCUGAAAUUUGGUGGUGUCUGUUUGGGAACAGACUUUGGAACCUUGCUUUUGGUGGUGGAGUUGGAUCACAAGGUGGUUAAAGAACAGAAAUUAAAGCCCUAAACUAAAAAACCCUUAUUUUUGCCUGUGAAGGAAUCACAGCGGGUUGAUUUCUUUUUUCUUUUUUCUUUUUCUGAUUUUUUCUUUUUUUUCUUGAUUUUUUCUUCUUUUUUGUUCUUUUUUCAUUUUUCAAUUUUUUCUUUGGUUUUUUCAUUUCCAGAUUCUUUCUUCUUCUUUUGAUAUUUCCACUUUUUUCUGGAAAUUUUCUGUUUUUUCUCCUUUUUUUAGCAGUGUCCGAAUACGCGGACUACAUGAAAAGGCAUAAUUGAAAAACAGAUGCAGAACUGAAGGAAAUAUAUACAAAUAUGUACAAAACAUCAGAACCAGGCGGCUAAGCAAUUUCCCCUAAAUUGUCAAUUUUGGGAGAAGGUGCUUCUAGUAUCAUGGGAUCUUCUUGUUUUUCUUCAGUGUUUCCUAUACUAGGGUGUGGUAAUGGUUCUGAAGAGGGCUUAGUUCUUGGAAAUGGUUUAGCAAUUGGCUGUGGAGGUUUUUUGUGGAAAGCUUUUUGUGGUGGAAAAGGUGCUGAUGAUAGUGGAAGCGGUUUUACUGAGGUGGAUGGAUGGACUACUGGGAUUAGUGGGUUUUGAAAAGGAGCAUUUAUGUUGGUAAUUGGGGGAAAGACCAAACUUGGUGUUAUUGUCAUUAUAGGAGGAUACUUUGGAGGAGGAUAAGAGGAAGAUUGAGGUAGAGAUACAAUACCUUGUUGUGAAGGAUGCUUGAGGUCUCUGAUCUGAUGUUCAAGGAUUGCAAUUCUUUGUAGAUUUUUCUGAUCCUUUGUUCUUAAGUCAUCGCAAAUGGUAUUCAGCUUCUGAAGCUGUGUUGCCAUUGUUGAGCAGUUUUCACAGAAACUAUUUUUCUCAAGAUUGUGGGUGGAUGUAGAGGCUUGGAUAUGUGGAGAGGAGCGAAUAUUGGGAGAAAUAAAAAAGUUUGGGCCAAAGUGGGUGCGAGCAGUGUCUAAGGCUUCGGAGAUAGAAUGAAAACCUUUGUAGAGUGGUUGGGAAAAAUGCCAAUUUUAAAACCUUGAAAUACUACAUAGUAAGGAAACUUAUUUAUUUAUUUAUUUAUUUAUUUAUUUAUUUUUUUUUUUUUAUAAGUUAAGAGUUCCAAUUUGGAUUUAUAAUAAAAGGGAAAAAAGGCAUCAGGUUGUAACAUAGGUGGUGACAUAAGAUUCUAGUAAGUUUAUAUUGAUAAUCUAAACUAUAAUCUUGGAGGUUGAGUUUGUCCAAAANGAAUUCGUUUUAUGAUAGUACCACAAUUCUUUUUGAGAGAGUACAAACUCUAGAACAAGAACUGAACCCUAAUUGGGAAUUAGCUGCCCGAGACUAUAAAAUCCAAUUAUUAAGACAAAGAGCACAAGAAAGAAUAGACAAACGAAUAUGGAAAAUAGCUAUGGAAUUACAAGAUCAGAGUGGAUCAAGAGUAAGAGAAAUAAUGGAAUAUGAACGCAAGCAAAGGUUAUUAGACACUAAAGACCAAAAUAAAAUUAUUCAAGAUAUUAGGAUUCUGUUCGAUGAUCUUUCCGAACAGGAAGAGAUUAUAAAAGACAUCAGACAUCUCUUUGACAUAUCCCAACCCUCAUUUCAUGACUCUACUAUUUAUGUUAUGACCCUUAUGAAUUUAAAUGAAGAAUGCAGCCAUGAUUGGCAAGAAAGACAAGGAUAUGACCAUAGACCUUGCACAUACUGUAAUUUCUUUCCCGAACGAAAAUUUAGAUGUAAAUGUCGCUUAUGUAAAAUUGAAGCAUGUUCAAUUUGCUUAAACAAAAAGUUUAAUAGACAGAUUACAAAUAUAGAACCUAAAAAGACUUUUGAAAUUGAACAUUUAAAUGCCCAUGAAAAACGAAUUAUAGCUUUAGAAGCCAGAGUUAGCCUUCUGGAAAAACAAGACAAUCCAAGAAAAAACAAAGAAAUCACAAACAAAGGAAAAGGAAUAGAGAUCCGUGAAAAUAUGACAGCACUAUCUGAAUACUAUGAAGAAGAAAACUUAAGAGUAUAUGAAGAUAACUAUAUUUGCAAUGAAGGAUUAAACCUACGAAGCCUAAUUGUUCCAUGUAAAAUACAAAUAGGAAACAAAGACUUUGAAACAGAAGCAGUCAUAGACACUGGCUGUACAACAUGUCUAAUACACACAGAUUUAGUCCCUUUAAAUUAUCGAAAAACAGCAAAGGAACCAACAAAAGGAAUCCAAAUGGACGGUACUGCCCAUAAAUAUACACAGUAUGUUUCUAAUGCAAAAAUUAGUUUCUUAGAUACAUGCAAUACAUUCAAUGAAACUUAUACCCUCCCCAGAGUCUGGUUACGAAAAAUGAAAAUAAAUGCAGACUUUGUAUUAGGUUUAAAUUUCAUGCUCCACUUUUUAGGCGGAAUAAGUAUCAAUAGAGAUUAUGUUAAAUUCUACAAACAUGUCACAAUGACUCCAGUACAAAAGAAAGCAAAGAAACCCUUAAAAGACAGAAUAGAUUGCUGUGACAAUUGCUCUAAAGGAGAACCUUGUUCUCUAGAUAAGAUAACAGACGAAACAGACUUAUUAGAAUUUGACACCUGGCAUGAUGAUUUUUCUUAUAAUCUAGAAAAAUUAUUAGACACCAACUCAAUUUGCAUGGAUUAUGACUUUGUAAAUUGGGAAAAAACCCUCUUAAAUAUAGGUUUUAUUAGAAACCAGCAAGACAUAGAUGAAAUAUUACAUAAACUUGACAAAUUAGAAAUUAUGGGAGACAACCCAAUUAAAUAUUGGGAAAACGAUAAAAUAUAUUGUAAACUGGAUAUAAUUAACCCAGAAUAUAUAGUUAGAACUGCCUCUAUAGACUUCACUAACGAAGAAAGAGAACAAUUUAAACUACACAUAAAUGAACUACUUAAGUUAGGUGUUAUAAGAAAAUCGAUAUCUAAACAUAGAUCAACAGCUUUUAUAGUUAUGAAACAUUCUGAGAUAGUACGAGGAAAAAGCAGAAUGGUCAUUAACUACAAAAGACUUAAUGACAAUACAAAAUUCGAUGGCUAUACUAUUCCAGACAAAUCUCAACUAAUAAAUAGUAUACAAGAUAAAAAGAUUUUUAGUAAAUUUGACUGUAAAUCAGGUUUUUGGCAAGUAAAAAUGGACAAAGAGAGUAUAGAAUGGACAGCUUUUACCUGCCCAGAAGGACAUUUUGANUUUGAAUAUUUUUAUGAAAACCGAAAGUAAAGGUAUGGAAUUCUCCUGUGAGAUGGUAAAUAAUGAAAGGAUAAGGAAGGCUUAGGUUUGACAAAGUCUUAUCAUAUAAUGUUAAAAAUGCAAAAUAAUAAAAGGGCUUUUUGCUUUUUUGUUUUUCUUUUGAUUCUAGCCGUGGUUGUAAAUUUAGAGAAAACAAGUACGGUUUGGAGGAGAUUCUAUGAUUAAUUUAUUAAGUAAGUCUAUCUGAGAUUUGGUAUUCUUUUCUAUGACUACUAAAAUUUGUUGAAUGCUGAAAAGGAUGAUUAAAAUGCUUAAAAGAAAUAUGGAUGGUACUAGCAUUAAAAUCUUCGUGGAGGCUGAGGAGGUCGUCUGGAAAGAAUGUCAAAUAGAUGAGGGUAGUGUAUAAGUUCUUUAUCUAGAGUAAGUAGGAUUAAAGAAAGUAAAUCUAGAUACCUAUGAGUUUCAAUGUAAAAUGUUUUUAAGACACGAAAAUGUACUAAAGUCCCGAUAGGAUGAUUAGCGUAAAUAGGAUUGUUAAUAGGAUUAAAAGUGAAAGCGUCUAUGUCAAAAGCGUCUUCGACUGUUACUUCUAAAAAUCUUCGUCUUCCAAUAUGAACAAUGUUGUAUCGCCAGUUAAAUUGUCUUGGGCUGGUGGUAUUAUCACUAUAGUCUGAACUGUCAUCACUAUUGUUAUUGUCUUCGUAUUCUUCGUAAUCUGGUAAAAUUUCGUCUUCGUUUGGAUUAGCCAGUGUAUUUAUUAUUGUCGAAAUAUCUGAAAAACAAGAAAAGGGUCUAUUUCCCAAAGCUGAGAUAUAAGUUGUAGGAAAAUAAUUAUUAAGGGGAGUGGAACUCCUAAAGUUAAGGAAUCUAUAAUAAAAGUUUCUAUAUAAUAGGGAGUGUAGAGAAAGUUUAGAAUUGGUUCGAUGAGAUAAUAUAAGCACACUAUAAGAAAUCUAAAUAUAGAUUCGAUUAAUAAAUAUAAUGCUAUGUCUUUAUCCAGUUUGAAAAAUGUUAAAUAGGUUGAAAAAUGUUAAAUUAUUAUUUUCUUCCUAUAUAUUGAAAAGGCCAAGUAAUAAGGUAUCGGUCAAAAGUUUCCCAAUAUAUUAUUAAUAUGUCUAAAAUAUUGUAUAUGAUGUCUUCUGGAAAUCCUAACAGAAAUAAUGUUAAAAUAAAAGUUGUCAAGGAAAAAGGUUGAUCGAUGAUAUUACAAAAAAGUUGGUCUGUAUUAUUAUCCGGUGCUUUCCUUUUUGGCAUAAAAAAGUUUUACUAUUUAUUAAAUAUGUGGUUGCAUUGAGGACUUUAGUUAAGAAAAUUUAUUUUCUUUUCUUUUCUCUGUCUUGCUUAAGAAGAAAGCGAGGCUGUUGAAUUGAUUGAAAAAAGAUAAUUAAUAUGGUGUAGCUUUAAGAAAGGAAACUAAAUGUCUUAUAGCUAAAUUAAGAGUAUAAGUGUAUAAUUAAAAGUCUUUGCUAAUUGUAACCAAGAAAGUCUUAGUCUACCAAGAAUGUCUUAGUUUACCAAGAAAGUCUUAGCUCUGAUACCAAGAGGAAACAAGAAAGUCUUAGCUCUGAUACCAAGAAUGUCUAAUUUUAACUUUAUCUUUCCUCCUCCUCUUGAAGGAUGGUGAGCAAGGAAGCAGAGCAAGAGAAAAUCCCACUUAGCCCCUGCCUUAUGUAAAAAUUGCGCUGAAGUUUAAAGGAAGAUCAUUUCGACGACAAGUGAAGAAUGAAGCUCUCAUCUUGUUAGAUAUAGCAUCCUAGCUCCACAAAUAAAUCCAAUGGCUUUUAUUUUCCUGUCCUUCCUGUAAAAAUUUAUCUUUUCAACAACUGCAAUCUGGAGUGAAGAGUCUGUACAAACAAGUCCUUNUUAGUUUCUGUGAAAACUGCUCAACAAUGGCAACACAGCUCCAAAAACUGAAUACUAUUUGUGAUGACUUGAGAACAAAGGAUCAGAAAAAUAUUCAAAGAAUUGCUGUUCUGGAACAACAGAUCAAAGACCUCAAGAACCCCUCACAACAAGGUAUUGUAUCUCUACCUCAAUCUUCCUCUUAUCCUCCUUCAAAGUAUCCUCCUAUAAUGACAACUACACCUAGUUUGGUCUUUCCUCCUAUGACCGACAUAAAUACUCCAUUUCAAUUUACUCCAUUUCAAAACCCACUAAUCCCAGUAGUCCAUCCCUCUAUCUCAGUAAAACCUUUUUUAUCCUCAGCACCACAAAAGCCUACCCUCAAAAGAUAUCCACAGCCAAUUGCCAAACCUUUCCGGCAAAUUGAACCCUCUUCAGAACCAUUACCAUACCCUAGUAUAUGAAACACUGAAGAAAAACAAGGAAAUCCUAUGAUAAUAGAAGCAUCUU